CACCCCCACCCCACCCACCCCCAGUGCUCCCUGCUCGGGACAGAAUGUGCUGGGAGGAGAGGCCAGAGGCGGCUGUGCCUGGUGGCUGCAGCUAGGCAGCUGGAGGGUUCCUGAACAGCGGCCCAGCUGGGCCCCCUGCCAGCGAGGGUGGAAAACAAGCAGAGGGCGCCCUGCCUGUCACCCCCAGGGCCCCGGGGGCCUGGCCAAGCCAGGAAAGGAGACAGAGAUGGUGAAAGAAUCAGAGACUGAGACAGAGAGAUGGUAAACAAGAGAGACGGUUGGGGCGUUCUUGGAAAAAUGAGGUUAGGAGGUGAAGAAGAGCCAGUCACAGAGAAGAAGAGCCUUUCAGCAGAGGGAACCACAUGUGCAAAGGUCCUGAGAGUUCUGGAGACUGGGAUCUUGUGUCUUGCACACCAGGGCGACAGGGGAGCUCACCCCCUCCCGAGGCUAUUUUGGAGGUCUGGGUGACCUGGUCUGUGCUGUGGGUACAUCUCCCCUCUGCUGGGCCCAAAGGAACCCCAAAUGUGACGGGUUCAAAGCUGGAUGCCAGCUCCAGAAGAAUGACAACCUCCAUGCCAACAAAUCGUUGCACACGCACGCCCAUAGCAGCCCUGUUCGCCGUUGCUAAAAGGUGGAAACGGCCCAAAUGUCUAUCGAGGGGUGAAGGGAGAAUCCAAAUGUAGUCCAUCCACGCUACAGAAUAUUAUUUGGCCACAAAAAGUUACGAAACGUUGACGAAAUGCUGCCACGUGGGUGAAAACGUGGACGUUUAUGCUGAGUGCAAGCCAGGCCGGAGAGGCCACACGGAGCAUGAUCCCAUCUACGUGAAAUGCCCAGAACAGGAAAAUCCACAGAGGCAGGAAGCAGAUG